CCUUAUUUGUUUCCAUGAGUAUAUUUGACAAAACAAUAGCACUAUAAAUAUGUAUAUUAUGCACCAUUCUACUGAAUACAAUGUGGAUUUAGAUCGGAUUAAUCUCUACUUUAAAGAAAAUGAGAAAAGUUUAUUUGCACACAUUGGGAGACAGAUACUCUUCAGUAAUACUCAUAGUUAUCUUCCAAAAUUUAUCAUCUGCAUGCCAGCACACAAAAUAUUAUAGACAUUUCAUACGAAACAACACUCUAGCAUGUAUUAGCUGGUUAAACAUACAUACGAGAAUUUGUCCCAUUCUUCAAAAACAAUAGUUUUCAACACUUCAUAGGUUGUUAUACGCAAUAUUCCUCUGUCGCUCAUUGAAGCCAUGUUGUAGUUGAACAAGUCUGCCCCAUUCACAAGUCAUCGAAUACCCAUUUCUG